rnacentral:rRNA from 1 species
GAUGAACGCUGGCGGCGUGCCUAAUACAUGCAAGUCGAGCGAACAGACGAGGAGCUUGCUCCUUCGACGUUAGCGGCGGACGGGUGAGUAACACGUAGGUAACCUACCUAUAAGACUGGGAUAACUUCGGGAAACCGGAGCUAAUACCGGAUAAUAUUCCGAACCGCAGGGUUCGUAAGUAAAAGAUGGCUUGCCUUUCCCUUUUAAUUGGACCUGCGCCGUAUUAGUUAGUUGGUAAGGUAACGGCUUACCAAGGCAACGAUACGUAGCCGACCUGAGAGGGUGAUCGGCCACACUGGAACUGAGACACGGUCCAGACUCCUACGGGAGGCAGCAGUAGGGAAUCUUCCGCAAUGGGCGAAAGCCUGACGGAGCAACGCCGCGUGAGUGAUGAAGGUCUUCGGAUCGUAAAACUCUGUUAUUAGGGAAGAACAAACGUGUAAGUAACUGUGCACGUCUUGACGGUACCUAAUCAGAAAGCCACGGCUAACUACGUG